rnacentral:rRNA from 1 species
UACGUAGGUGGCAAGCGUUGUCCGGAAUCAUUGGGCGUAAAGGGCGCGUAGGCGGAUAAUUAAGUCUGGUGUGAAAACUUGGGGCUCAACCCCAAGCCUGCAUCGGAAACUGGUUAUCUUGAGGACAGGAGAGGAAAGUGGAAUUCCACGUGUAGCGGUGAAAUGCGUAGAGAUGUGGAGGAACACCAGUGGCGAAGGCGACUUUCUGGACUGUAACUGACGCUGAGGCGCGAAAGCGUGGGGAGCAAACAGG